rnacentral:rRNA from 1 species
AGUGAACGCUGGCGGUAGGCCUAACACAUGCAAGUCGAACGGCAGCACAGUAAGAGCUUGCUCUUACGGGUGGCGAGUGGCGGACGGGUGAGGAAUACAUCGGAAUCUACUUUUUCGUGGGGGAUAACGUAGGGAAACUUACGCUAAUACCGCAUACGACCUACGGGUGAAAGCAGGGGAUCUUCGGACCUUGCGCGAUUGAAUGAGCCGAUGUCGGAUUAGCUAGUUGACGGGGUAAAGGCCCACCAAGGCGACGAUCCGUAGCUGGUCUGAGAGGAUGAUCAGCCACACUGGAACUGAGACACGGUCCAGACUCCUACGGGAGGCAGCAGUGGGGAAUAUUGGACAAUGGGCGCAAGCCUGAUCCAGCCAUACCGCGUGGGUGAAAAAGGCCUUCGGGUUGUAAAGCCCUUUUGUUGGGAAAGAAAAGCAGCAGGUUAAUACCCCGCUGUUCUGACGGUACCCAAAGAAUAAGCACCGGCUAACUUCGUG